GAACGGAGAUUGUAGCAACACGGUCUUUGUGGCGAACGGGUGAGUACGCGUUGGUGAUCUGCCUCGAAGUGUGGAAUAAUGAUUCGAAAGAAUCGCUAAUACCGCAUAGUCUCUCUUUUUCCAGAAAUUUGAGAGUAAAGGAUUUAUUCGCUUUGAGAGGAGCCUGCGUCCCAUCAGCUAGUUGGUAAGGUAAUGGCCUACCAAGGCGAUGACGGGUAGGGGACCUGAGAGGGUGGCCCCCCACAAUGGAACUGAAACACGGUCCAUACACCUACGGGUGGCAGCAGUAGGGAAUAUUAGAAAUGGACGAAAGUCUGAUCU
rnacentral:rRNA from 1 species